GGUUAAGCGACUAAGCGUACACGGUGGAUGCCGGCAGUCAGAGGCGAUGAAGGACGUGCUAAUCUGCGAAAAGCGUCGGUAAGGUGAUAUGAACCGUUAUAACCGGCGAUGUCCGAAUGGGAAACCAGUGUGAUUCGUCACACUAUCGUUAACUGAAUACAUAGGUUAACGAGGCGAACCGGGGAACUGAAACAUCUAAGUACCCCGAGGAAAGAAAUCAACCGAGAUUCCCCCAGUAGCGGCGAGCGAACGGGGAGCAGCCCAGAGUCUGAAUCAGCUUGUGUGUUAGUGGAACGGUCUGGAAAGUCCGACGGUACAGGGUGAUAGUCCCGUACACCAAAAUGCACAGGUUGUGAACUCGAAGAGUAGGGCGGGACACGUGGUAUCCUGUCUGAAUAUGGGGGACCAUCCUCCAAGGCUAAAUACUCCUGACUGACCGAUAGUGAACCAGUACCGUGAGGGAAAGGCGAAAAGAACCCCGGCGAGGGGAGUGAAAAAGAACCUGAAACCGUGUACGUACAAGCAGUGGGAGCACCUUCGGGUGUGACUGCGUACCUUUGUAUAAUGGGUCAGCGACUUAUAUUCUGUAGCAAGGUUAACCGUAUGGGAGCCGCAGGGAAACCGAGUCUUAACUGGGCGUUAAGUUGCAGGGUAUAGACCCGAAACCCGGUGAUCUAGCCAUGGGCAGGUUGAAGGUUGGGUAACACUAACUGGAGGACCGAACCGACUAAUGUUGAAAAAUUAGCGGAUGACUUGUGGCUGGGGGUGAAAGGCCAAUCAAACCGGGAGAUAGCUGGUUCUCCCCGAAAGCUAUUUAGGUAGCGCCUCGUGAACUCAUCUUCGGGGUAGAGCACUGUUUCGGCUAGGGGGUCAUCCCGACUUACCAACCCGAUGCAAACUACGAAUACCGAAGAAUGUUAUCACGGGAGACACACGGCGGGUGCUAACGUCCGUCGUGAAGAGGGAAACAACCCAGACCGCCAGCUAAGGUCCCAAAGUCAUGGUUAAGUGGGAAACGAUGUGGGAAGGCACAGACAGCCAGGAUGUUGGCUUAGAAGCAGCCAUCAUUUAAAGAAAGCGUAAUAGCUCACUGGUCGAGUCGGCCUGCGCGGAAGAUGUAACGGGGCUAAACCAUGCACCGAAGCUGCGGCAGCGACACUAUGUGUUGUUGGGUAGGGGAGCGUUCUGUAAGCCUGCGAAGGUGUGCUGUGAGGCAUGCUGGAGGUAUCAGAAGUGCGAAUGCUGACAUAAGUAACGAUAAAGCGGGUGAAAAGCCCGCUCGCCGGAAGACCAAGGGUUCCUGUCCAACGUUAAUCGGGGCAGGGUGAGUCGACCCUAAGGCGAGGCCGAAAGGCGUAGUCGAUGGGAAACAGGUUAAUAUUCCUGUACUUGGUGUUACUGCGAAGGGGGACGGAGAAGGCUAUGUUAGCCGGGCGACGGUUGUCCCGGUUUAAGCAUGUAGGCUGAUUGUCCAGGCAAAUCCGGAUAAUCAAGGCUGAGGUGUGAUGACGAGGCACUACGGUGCUGAAGUAACAAAUGCCCUGCUUCCAGGAAAAGCCUCUAAGCAUCAGGUAACAUCAAAUCGUACCCCAAACCGACACAGGUGGUCAGGUAGAGAAUACCAAGGCGCUUGAGAGAACUCGGGUGAAGGAACUAGGCAAAAUGGUGCCGUAACUUCGGGAGAAGGCACGCUGGUGUGUAGGUGAAGUCCCUGCGGAUGGAGCUGAGACCAGUCGAAGAUACCAGCUGGCUGCAACUGUUUAUUAAAACACAGCACUGUGCAAACACGAAAGUGGACGUAUACGGUGUGACGCCUGCCCGGUGCCGGAAGGUUAAUUGAUGGGGUUAUCCGUGGAGAAGCUCUUGAUCGAAGCCCGGUAAACGGCGGCCGUAACUAUAACGGUCCUAAGGUAGCGAAAUUCCUUGUCGGGUAAGUUCCGACCUGCACGAAUGGCGUAAUGAUGGCCAGGCUGUCUCCACCCGAGACUCAGUGAAAUUGAACUCGCUGUGAAGAUGCAGUGUACCCGCGGCAAGACGGAAAGACCCCGUGAACCUUUACUAUAGCUUGACACUGAACAUUGAGCCUUGAUGUGUAGGAUAGGUGGGAGGCUUUGAAGCGUGGACGCCAGUCUGCGUGGAGCCAACCUUGAAAUACCACCCUUUAAUGUUUGAUGUUCUAACGUUGGCCCCUUACCGGGGUUGCGGACAGUGUCUGGUGGGUAGUUUGACUGGGGCGGUCUCCUCCCAAAGCGUAACGGAGGAGCACGAAGGUUAGCUAAUCCUGGUCGGACAUCAGGAGGUUAGUGCAAUGGCAUAAGCUAGCUUGACUGCGAGCGUGACGGCGCGAGCAGGUGCGAAAGCAGGUCAUAGUGAUCCGGUGGUUCUGAAUGGAAGGGCCAUCGCUCAACGGAUAAAAGGUACUCCGGGGAUAACAGGCUGAUACCGCCCAAGAGUUCAUAUCGACGGCGGUGUUUGGCACCUCGAUGUCGGCUCAUCACAUCCUGGGGCUGAAGUAGGUCCCAAGGGUAUGGCUGUUCGCCAUUUAAAGUGGUACGCGAGCUGGGUUUAGAACGUCGUGAGACAGUUCGGUCCCUAUCUGCCGUGGGCGCUGGAGAAUUGAGGGGGCUGCUCCUAGUACGAGAGGACCGAGUGGACGCAUCACUGGUGUUCGGGUUGUCAUGCCAAUGGCACUGCCCGGUAGCUAAAUGCGGAAGAGAUAAGUGCUGAAAGCAUCUAAGCACGAAACUUGCCCCGAGAUGAGUUCUCCUGAGACUUUAAGUCUCCUGAAGGAACGUUGAAGACGACGACGUUGAUAGGCCGGGUGUGUAAGCGCAGCGAUGCGUUGAGCUAACCGGUACUAAUGAACCGUGAGGCUUAACCUU
rnacentral:rRNA from 1 species